CCUACGGGAGGCAGCAGUGGGGGAUAUUGCACAAUGGGGGGAACCCUGAUGCAGCGACGCCGCGUGGGUGCAGGAGUGCUUCGGCAUGUAAAGCCCUAUCGGCAGGGAAGAAGCAAGACGGUACCUGACUAAGAAGCCCCGGCUAACUACGUGCCAGCAGCCGCGGUAAUACGUAGGGGCCGAGCGUUAUCCGGAUUCACUGGGUGUAAAGGGCGCGUAGACGGCCAUGCAAGCCAGGGGUGAAAGCCCGGGGCCCAACCCCGGGACUGCCCUUGGAACUGUGCGGCUAGAGUGCGGGAGGGGCAGGCGGAAUUCCUGGUGUAGCGGUGAAAUGCGUAGAUAUCAGGAGGAACACCGGCGGCGAAGGCGGCCUGCUGGACUGCGACUGACGUUGAGGCUCGAAAGCGUGGGGAGCGAACAGGAUUAGAUACCCGAGUAGUC
rnacentral:rRNA from 1 species